AUGGAGAUAGAGAAAGGAUAUUACAUGGUGUCGCAAGCAGUGAGAGACAGGAUGGAGCAAAACAAAAGUAAAAGCAGAAUAAAGGAAAAUGCAAGGGUGAUGCAGAAAACUAAAUGUAUUAAGUCUGUGAGAAAUGAUGAUGAUAAAUCAAACAAAAUAUUAAGUGAAAAGCCGAGACAAGUACACGAGCUAGAUGAAGAGAAUAAAAAUAUCAUCGCACAGAUACAAGCUGAAAUAAGAGACUCAGACAGAAGGAGCAUAGUAACCACUCAUGAUAAAAGCAGAAAACAAGUAAAAACAUAUUUAGAAAACUUUUCUCAGUGCAUAUUGGGCACAGGUAUUGAAUUUUGGACUAGAAGAAGUCUUGAUAACUCACAUAAAUCUAAUCAGGAGCUGUUGAAAGAGACAGUGAAACAAAAUUUUAAUUUCCUGCAACAAAAUGACUCGCAGGAAAAGGUUACUAUUACUAACAAUGUUACUGAAGCUAUAAAAAACUUACCAAAAUUCACAGACAAACAGAAAACCCCACGUGAACCAGUUAAAACUUCAAAUAGCUAUAUGCUACAGACUUCCUUAGAAAAAAUAUCUAGCUUGAACCCAGAAGUUAAAAUUUUUUAUCCUAUAGUAAAUAUUUUAGAAAUUUCAAACUUAAAUGAAAAUAAAGCUGAAAUUAUAAUUGAAAAUAUUCAAUGUAAUGAAAGUGAAAUAGCAGUUCAAUUUGAAAAUAUAAAUAAAAUGAAGGACUUAACAACUGUUGGGAUAGCUGAAGGUUCAAGUGACAUCCAUGAAGCCAACAUUCUAAAUGGAUGGGGGAGGUCUGGCCAAGUAAAACUAUAUGAGAUUACAUAUAGCUAUGGUUUAAAUUCAUAUUCCAGUGAAGUAGAAAACUUAAUACAAUCAAACGUAGAUGAAGAUUACUUAGAAAAUUAUUUAAGCCAAAAAGAUUUAACUAGUUCAACCACAGAAAUGGCAGAAGAUAACAGUGCAGUGCAGAGUGAAUCACUAACAAUUAAUUCAAUAACUACAAAAAAGCCAGAAACAUAUGUAUGGAUUAAAGUGGGAAAGAAAAAAUACAAAGUUCUCGUGGAUACUGGUACUUCAGAAUCAUUCCUUAAGACAUGUUCAGGGAAUAUCAACAUAGGGGGUAUGGUUUCUAUAGCUGGAGCUACAGGAUAG
rnacentral:lncRNA from 1 species